AAAUUGAAGAGUUUGAUCAUGGCUCAGAUUGAACGCUGGCGGCAGGCCUAACACAUGCAAGUCGAGCGGUAGCACAGAGAGCUUGCUCUCGGGUGACGAGCGGCGGACGGGUGAGUAAUGUCUGGGAAACUGCCUGAUGGAGGGGGAUAACUACUGGAAACGGUAGCUAAUACCGCAUAAUGUCGCAAGACCAAAGUGGGGGACCUUCGGGCCUCAUGCCAUCAGAUGUGCCCAGAUGGGAUUAGCUAGUAGGUGGGGUAACGGCUCACCUAGGCGACGAUCCCUAGCUGGUCUGAGAGGAUGACCAGCCACACUGGAACUGAGACACGGUCCAGACUCCUACGGGAGGCAGCAGUGGGGAAUAUUGCACAAUGGGCGCAAGCCUGAUGCAGCCAUGCCGCGUGUGUGAAGAAGGCCUUCGGGUUGUAAAGCACUUUCAGCGGGGAGGAAGGCGAUAAGGUUAAUAACCUUGUCGAUUGACGUUACCCGCAGAAGAAGCACCGGCUAACUCCGUGCCAGCAGCCGCGGUAAUACGGAGGGUGCAAGCGUUAAUCGGAAUUACUGGGCGUAAAGCGCACGCAGGCGGUCUGUCAAGUCGGAUGUGAAAUCCCCGGGCUUAACCUGGGAACUGCAUUCGAAACUGGCAGGCUAGAGUCUUGUAGAGGGGGGUAGAAUUCCAGGUGUAGCGGUGAAAUGCGUAGAGAUCUGGAGGAAUACCGGUGGCGAAGGCGGCCCCCUGGACAAAGACUGACGCUCAGGUGCGAAAGCGUGGGGAGCAAACAGGAUUAGAUACCCUGGUAGUCCACGCCGUAAACGAUGUCGAUUUGGAGGUUGUGCCCUUGAGGCGUGGCUUCCGGAGCUAACGCGUUAAAUCGACCGCCUGGGGAGUACGGCCGCAAGGUUAAAACUCAAAUGAAUUGACGGGGGCCCGCACAAGCGGUGGAGCAUGUGGUUUAAUUCGAUGCAACGCGAAGAACCUUACCUGGUCUUGACAUCCACAGAACUUAGCAGAGAUGCUUUGGUGCCUUCGGGAACUGUGAGACAGGUGCUGCAUGGCUGUCGUCAGCUCGUGUUGUGAAAUGUUGGGUUAAGUCCCGCAACGAGCGCAACCCUUAUCCUUUGUUGCCAGCGGUUAGGCCGGGAACUCAAAGGAGACUGCCAGUGAUAAACUGGAGGAAGGUGGGGAUGACGUCAAGUCAUCAUGGCCCUUACGACCAGGGCUACACACGUGCUACAAUGGCAUAUACAAAGAGAAGCGACCUCGCGAGAGCAAGCGGACCUCAUAAAGUAUGUCGUAGUCCGGAUUGGAGUCUGCAACUCGACUCCAUGAAGUCGGAAUCGCUAGUAAUCGUAGAUCAGAAUGCUACGGUGAAUACGUUCCCGGGCCUUGUACACACCGCCCGUCACACCAUGGGAGUGGGUUGCAAAAGAAGUAGGUAGCUUAACCUUCGGGAGGGCGCUUACCACUUUGUGAUUCAUGACUGGGGUGAAGUCGUAACAAGGUAACCGUAGGGGAACCUGCGGUUGGAUCACCUCCUUA
rnacentral:rRNA from 1 species